rnacentral:rRNA from 1 species
CCUACGGGAGGCUGCAGUCGAGAAUCAUUCACAAUGGGGGAAACCCUGAUGGUGCGACGCCGCGUGGGGGAAUGAAGGUCUUCGGAUUGUAAACCCCUGUCAUGUGGGAGCAAAUUAAAAAGAUAGUACCACAAGAGGAAGAGACGGCUAACUCUGUGCCAGCAGCCGCGGUAAUACAGAGGUUUCAAGCGUUGUUCGGAAUCACUGGGCGUAAAGCGUGCGAAGGCUGUUUCGUAAGUCUUGUGUGAAAGGCGGGGGCUCAACCCGCGGACGGCACAUGAUACUGCGAGACUAGAGUAAUGGAGGGGGAACCGGAAUUCUCGGUGUAGCAGGGAAAUGCGUAGAUAUCGAGAGGAACACUCGUGGCGAAGGCGGGUUCCUGGACAUUAACUGACGCUGAGGCACGAAGGCCAGGGGAGCGAAAGGGAUUAGAUACCCCAGUAGUC